GAAAUGCGAUAAGUAAUGUGAAUUGCAGAAUUCAGUGAAUCAUCGAAUCUUUGAACGCACAUUGCGCCCCUUGGUAUUCCAUGGGGCAUGCCUGUUCGAGCGUCAUUUGUACCCUCAAGCUCUGCUUGGUGUUGGGUGUUUGUCCCGUCUCCGCGCGUGGACUCGCCCCAAAGUGAUUGGCAGCCGGCGUACUGGUCCCGGAGCGCAGCACAUGUCGCGCAAACGAGUGCCUUGGUACGGCGGCGUCCAUAAGCCCCUCUCUCACGCUCUUGACCUCGGAUCAGGUAGGGAUACCCGCUGAACUUAAGC
rnacentral:misc_RNA from 1 species